GAGAAACGAAGAAAACGGAUUUGGAUCGGAAAAAAACGAAAGUAGUUGAAUAGUCGAUCGUGUCCGUUGAUAUCCGAGGUAAGUUUAUUAGCUAUUUAAUUUUAUUAAAUCAGUUUAUAUUACAUGUAUGAAUAUCAAAUGUAUUUAUGUUGAGUUAAAAUUAAAAGUAUAUAAAUCGAAUGAGAAGUAUGAAAAUUAUGUAUAUAUAUGUGUUAGGUUCGAAUGAGUAUGAAUAUACAAAUAUAUAUACAUCAAUGUCUUUGUAAAUAAUUUAGGUAUGGAACUAUAGGCAUGUGAUGUGUUCGAACAUAGGUAUGUAUAUAUGUCAAUAAAGUUUUAAUUUAGUUAAUGUUAAUUGUUUUAUAUGUUUACAUGAUGUUCGAAUAGAUAUAUAUAAAGAUAUAUAUAUAUGUAUCAAAUAUUUGUAUAAGUUGGAUUGAAUAAGCAUAUAUAUAUAUGAAUAAAUAAUUAUAUUGAGUAUAGGUAUGAAAUUAUAUUUAUAUAUAUGUGUGUUAAUUUCGAAAAUGUAUGUGUAUAAUGUAUAAAAGUACAAGUUCUUGUUUCGAAUAUAAGCAUAGAGUAAUAUAUAUUUGUUAGAUUCGAAUAUGUAUAUAUGUACAUGUAUAAGAUCUUGAAUUGAAAAGGUAUAUGAAAUUAUAUAGGUAUAUAUGGAAUUCAAAUGUUAAAAGUACAUAGUAUAUUAUAAGUUAAAUCUUAUGAUAUUACUAGUGGAAUCUAAAGUAUGAGGUUAUAUAUAUAUAAAUGUGUUUCGGUUGAAUUAUUGAAUUAUUUAAGUUAGAUUUGAUGAUUGGGAUUUAUAUAUAUCCAUGUGUUUUAAAGAUAUAAGUUAUGAAUAUUGAGCUGAAUUUUAUGUGAAUUUUAUAUACAAAUAUGAGAUACAACUUCUGUGAAUUGAGAUUCUUUUGUUAAAGCUCAGUAUCAAUCGGAUUUAUUGCCAGUAAAAUUAUUCAGACUAUACGUCUAGCAGGCUAAGUGCCGGUGAUCUGAAUCAAGUUAUAAACCUAGCAGGCUAAGUGCCGGUGAUCUGAAUCAGGCUAUAAGCCUAGCAAGCUAAGUGCCGGUGAAUCUGUUAAAUUAAGUGAUUAUAUGCAUUUGAUAUAUAUAUAUGAUUUUGGUUAUAUGUAAUGGAUAAGUAUAUGAACAUUUAUUUAUAUGUAUUUGAUGAGCAUAUAAAUGUUUGGAUCUAUGUGUUUAGUGAAUAGGCACAUAUAUUGGUUGUUAUGAAAAUUGUUGAAUAUACAUGUAUGCAUUCGGCACAUGUGGAUUAGAAGUAUAAAUGUGCAUUUGGUUCAUGUAGUUGAUAAGUAAAAAUAUAAGCUUUUGACUUAUGUAUUUGAAAGAUCAUAGAUAUGCAUUCGAUGAAAUGCAAAUGAUAAGUAUAUUAGAAAUUAGUAUAUGCAAUUAAUGAUUAUGUCUGUAACUUGAUUAUAAGCAUAUAAUGUUUAUACAUAUGUUCGUUUAUAUGUAUUUUAGAUAUGCUAUAAACUUACUAAGCUAUAAAAGCUUACUUUGAUUGUUUUUGUCCUUUUGUUUUAUAGUUAAAAACCAAGCUGCAGACUCGGGGAUCAUUAGCGAAUAUCAUCACUCUAUCUAUUAUCUCGGUAUUAAAACGUUUAAAUUUUAACUUAUGGCAUGUAUAGACUAAAUAAAAUUUUGGGAGUCGUACUUUAAUGUACUGUAUAUAUAUAAUUAAUAGCCAUAUGGAACUAGCUUAUUUUUCUUACGGUUUAACUGA
rnacentral:lncRNA from 1 species